AUUGAAUGACUGUGGUCUUUUUCUGGCUAAACAUAUCAGAUAGUCCAGAUUAACUCCCACUCGAAUUUUAAAUCAACAGCCAAGAUUUCCUUCUACCUAACUUGAUUAUGCGAUCUAGAUUUUAUGAAGUACAAAUGGUCCAGAUCUAUGUUAUGUAGAAUCAAAUAGCCAUGAUUUAAGGAGAUGUGAAAUGCUGAAAAAGGGUUUAAUGAA
rnacentral:lncRNA from 1 species